GGGUUGUGAGGUUAAGCGACCAAGCGUACACGGUGGAUGCCCUGGCAGUCAGAGGCGAUGAAGGACGUGCUAAUCUGCGAUAAGCGUCGGUAAGGUGAUAUGAACCGUUAUAACCGGCGAUUUCCGAAUGGGGAAACCCAGUGUGAUUCGUCACACUAUCAUUAACUGAAUCCAUAGGUUAAUGAGGCGAACCGGGG
rnacentral:rRNA from 1 species